AUUGAACGCUGGCGGCAGGCCUAACACAUGCAAGUCGAGCGAGCGGCGGACGGGUGAGUAAUGUCUGGGAAACUGCCUGAUGGGGGGGGAUAUCUACUGGAAACGGUAUCUAAUACCGCAUACCCCCAGAUGUGCCCAGAUGGGAUUAGCUAGUAGGGGGGGUAACGGCUCACCUAGGCGACGCUCCCUAGCUGGUCUGAGAGGAUGACCAGCCACACUGGAACUGAGACACGGUCCAGGCUCCUACGGGAGGCAGCAGUGGGGAAGAGUGCACAAUGGGCGCAAGCCUGAUGAAGCCAUGCCGCGUGUGUGAAGAGGGCCUUCGGGUUGUAAAGCACUUUCAGCGGGGAGGCGUUACCCGCAGAAGAAGCACCGGCUAACUCCGUGCCAGCAGCCGCGGUAAUAC
rnacentral:rRNA from 1 species